rnacentral:lncRNA from 1 species
CUCUCACCCACACCAGAAUGACAGCUGUCCUGCUCAGCACCGGAGACUCAGGAGCUAGCCCAGUGCCAGAUACAGCUAAAAGAAGGAAAGGAAAGAACCAUUCUGAUCUGUUUCCAUGAUCCAUAAUAUACUUCAGAUAGAAACAAAGGUUCUCCUCUUCCCAAUGUCGGGAGUUUGUCUUGAGGCUGACUUUGAGUGCCCACUAUCUGGUAUCCCCUUGUCAGUAAAGGUCUUUGAUUCUGCAGUACACCCAGAGAUGGACCCCUUCUUGGCCCUUCAUCCCACUUGCUCCUGCUCAGCACUCCCUACUUACACACUGAGCCAAAGCCAGUGUUUUAGCCCAAGCUCUACACACUGUGAAGGCCUGGGCAAUACUUGGUGCUCUUGGACAUGGCUGGGGCCCAGAGCCGGGCCUCACACAGUGCUCUGAGAGCACCCUCCACUGCUCUCAUCUGCACAACACUCUCCCCUCCUAGUAAGGCCUUUCCUUCUCCAAAGCACAUGGCCCCUUCCCUUAUCUUUUCCUUUCCCUUCCCUUUCCUUUCCCAGGAACCCAGUCUUUGCCUAAGCCCCAACCCUUC